UAGUAGAUUUACAGGCAUAGUCUCCAGAAAGGCAUAGUCGCUAGAGUUAGGGUGGGGCCCAGGAAUCUGCAUUUUCAACAAGACCAUCUAUGGAUUCUGAU
rnacentral:miRNA from 1 species